GGUCCAUAGUUCCAACAAUUUGAGGGCUUGGAAAGAGGGAAGCAUUAACCUCAAGGUCCCAGCUUGUUGCUUGAAGUUAAUGUCAAAGGUUUGGUUUGGUCUUAAUGACCUGAAGGUGGGAGCUACAGAUCUGAGCUCUCCUUGGAAGACUUUCUAAAUGCUCUUGACCCACAGUGAAUUUGGGGCUGUGCUCUCCCACCUAACAGCAAUGAUUCCCCACUACCUCCUUCCUCUUGGAUUGGAAGACUAUCUCUCUAGGUUCAGCCUCGUGCCUUUCUGUAUCCCAGGCCACUUCUGGGCCCAGCUCUGCUGGUAUUCUUCUCCCUAUGUCCUAGAGGUGGAGAAAUGAUCACAGGGAAUUGAACUGGCCUGGCUGAGUGCCUGGGAAGUGCAGGAAUAUCCACUCUGCCUUGUGCAUCACCUAUAAACCAUAGACCAUACUGUAAAUGUGAAUAGGUAUCUGGAGCUGAAAGGGAUCUUAGGGUUUAUGUUCAACCCUUUUGAUUUUAUAGUGAAGGAAAUUGGGACAUAGAAAGGUCAUUUCCUCCCUAUCACAUAACUAGUCAUUUCUGAAGUAGGGUUUGAAUUCAGAUCUUCCUGGCUUCAAGUCCUGUAGUCUGUCCACUUAGUCCUGCUACCUCUUAUUUCUUCUGAGUAGUUCAAAGGUAUUAAAUGAUAAUUGUUGAGAGAACAGAGAGGAAGUCAGAAUGAAAGAUUUGUAAUUCUUGGAAAUAAUUUUUCUCUUUACCCAUUUUGUCAAAGGAUUGCUUUGAGGUUUUCCUGUUUCCCCUUCUUCCCACUGCUGCAUCACUGGUUUGAUCCAACCAGAAAAUGGGGCCAAACUCAAAUCUGUGAGCUCUGCUAUUCUGUGGCAGGGGUGCUGUAGUUUAUUGUUGUUUGUGUGUUUUUAUUUUUAUUAUUAUUAUUAUUUUAAUGAGGGAGGAGUUUAAAACUACUGGAAAAAUGGGAUUUGUGGAACGUGCAAACUUUUUUUUUUCCUAUUAUUGACCUUUUUUCCUACCACCGUAUCCCAAAUCCCAAUCUUUUGAAUUUGUGAUCACUUGCCUACCAGAUAAAUCCUUUUAAUAGGGUCAAGUUCUAAGACCUCCAAAUUUUCUAAAUCCCUCCCCCGCCCCCCAAUUUGGG
rnacentral:lncRNA from 1 species